GACGAACGCUGGCGGCGUGCCUAACACAUGCAAGUCGAACGGAGCUUCUAUGGAAUGCGACUUCGGUCAAAUGAAGUUUAAGCUUAGUGGCGGACGGGUGAGUAACGCGUGAGCAACCUGCCUUACAGAGGGGGACAACAGUUGGAAACGACUGCUAAUACCGCAUAACGUAUUUUGUGGGCAUCCACGAAAUACCAAAGGAGCAAUCCGCUGUAAGAUGGACUCGCGUCCGAUUAGGUAGUUGGUGGGGUAACGGCCCACCAAGGCGACGAUCAGUAGCCGGACUGAGAGGUUGACCGGCCACAUUGGGACUGAGAUACGGCCCAGACUCCUACGGGAGGCAGCAGUGGGGAAUAUUGGGCAAUGGGCGCAAGCCUGACCCAGCAACGCCGCGUGAAGG
rnacentral:rRNA from 1 species